AAUAGAAAUACGCGAUAGGACAUUCACUUCUUCAUUCAUAUCUAAGCCUAAAGAGACGAAUGUGCGUUGUAAUUUUAAGGAGUGUGAAUUAAUGACUUCUCAUUGUUGAUUUUGCAGCGUGAGAGUGCGGAAAAUUAUGCUGCUUUGUUCAUAAAUUUUAAUGAAGGUGUUAUUCAAAUUGUUAUGCUUCCGACAUAUGUUACGAGAAAAAAAAUAUUGGUAUUAUUCCAGAAGGAAUAAAAUGAUGUAAAGCAAUGCAGUCUUCUCAUCAGGGAAAUAAGAAUGAUCUCUAGACAAAUGAUAAGAUGAAUAUUUGCGGAGUAUCAGGGAAAUUCCCAUGAAGCGAAAUCUGCUGAGUGCAGACCAGCAAGCAGAAGGCAUCAGCACUCAAAGAUAGCAGUUUCCCAAUCGGUGGUAAAAAGAUAUACAUGUCAAAAGCAUCGGAUCUCUGACUGAGGGAUGCAAGUGGCUCUGAAGUGAAGACACCUAUUUAUCGCGAAAAGGGACAGUUACAUCCUUCCGACAAGGCACGAAAUUAAAAGUGUAUUUUAGAAGCUGUUGAGGAAAUUGUUCACUGAGUGUCCUGUCAAUGAAACAAACAUGUCAUUAACGGGAAUCGAACUCGGAAACUCGGGGUUAGUAGCCUGCGCCCUUAACCACUACGCCAUAAGCCUGUAAGUGCAUGUCAAUUGUCGGUAAUACUGUAUAUAAGGGAGAUUGGUACAAGUGGAACACUUUUAGUGACAACUAUGUCAGACGUGAUGUAAGUGAUUGUGGAAGCUACUGCGAAUUGAAGGCAUCAAAGAGAACAUAUAUAAUAUAGAGAGGAGAAUCUAGGAAA